rnacentral:rRNA from 1 species
GAUGAACGCUGGCGGCGUGCCUAAUACAUGCAAGUCGAGCGAACAGACGAGGAGCUUGCUCCUCUGACGUUAGCGGCGGACGGGUGAGUAACACGUGGAUAACCUACCUAUAAGACUGGGAUAACUUCGGGAAACCGGAGCUAAUACCGGAUAAUAUAUUGAACCGCAUGGUUCAAUAGUGAAAGACGGUUUUGCUGUCACUUAUAGAUGGAUCCGCGCCGCAUUAGCUAGUUGGUAAGGUAACGGCUUACCAAGGCAACGAUGCGUAGCCGACCUGAGAGGGUGAUCGGCCCCACUGGAACUGAGACACGGUCCAGACUCCUACGGGAGGCAGCAGUAGGGAAUCUUCCGCAAUGGGCGAAAGCCUUACGGAGCAACGCCGCGUGAGUGAUGAAGGUCUUCGGAUCGGAAAACUCUUUUAUUAGGGAAGAACAAAUGUGUAAGUAACUAUGCACGUCUUGACGGUACCUAAUCAGAAAGCCACGGCUAACUACGUG